UAAUCGGGCAUCAAAAUUCAUCGAUAUGUAACCCUGAUCGAAGAGUCCUAAACCAGUGGGACUCUUGACCCCGGUAUCCAAAAUGUGUGAAAUUCAUGAUCAGAGAAUCUUGAUUCUUGAUCACAGAAUCUCAGACAUGAAGGACUCUUCACCAGCUAUCAGAUCAGAUAGGAACCUCUAAUGUGUGUGACCCCGCAGGUUCGAACCUAAGUCGGUAGCACAGGAACUAAUUCCUGUACUAAUCGAAGUGACCAUCUAGCAAUGGUACCCGAUAAUCGGAUAGAUCGAAUGGUCGCAAUUGCAACACUCAGAACCUACGUGAAUAUGGUUACUGUAUAAUUCAUCUUUUUGACCUCUGUGUUUGGGAUGACUCAGGGUUAAACUGUCAAUCCUGAUUAGAUCAUCCGAAUCAUGCUCAACUCAAAUAGUCCUGUGACUCCUCACAAAGACUGCCCUGAUCAAGGUUUUGCUAAAUUGAAACACGACUGUACACAACUCCUAAACUGGAGUGGUCAAUCCCAUCUUGACACACGCACCGACAAGUCAAGUACUUGACUACACCCAGCAGCCUUCUGUCACUGAAUUAGAAAUUCAGGUAGUCCAGUAGCUAAGUGCAGUGAGUUGCUUGCAAGUCACCGUGGCGGUCUCAGAUCGGAGGGAUAUUUAUACCCAUAUUCCAUCGGAGCAAAUUUUGACAGCAGAAAUAGCUCCAGAGUCGGUCACGUUCAGUGCAGAUGUACCUUUAU
rnacentral:lncRNA from 1 species